UAUUGGCCUGCGUGAUUUCAGACAAUCCCCGAGUACCGGGGUAAAAUGAUCGCAGGAGGGUCACCCCCGGAUUUUAUGAUUAUCAAGUGAUGUGGCAGGGACGAACUGAAAUUAGUGUGGAAAAAAUAAAAGACUGACCUAUCGCAUAUUCCUAAUAGAAUGAAAAUACACGAAGAUAAUUAAUAGAUGAGAAAAAAUUACAUUACUAUUAAAGUCACGGUCCUUAUUAU
rnacentral:sRNA from 1 species